UACGGAGGGUGCAAGCGUUAUCCGGAUUCACUGGGUUUAAAGGGUGCGUAGGUGGAUCUAUAAGUCAGUGGUGAAAGCCCCGAGCUCAACUUGGGAAUUGCCAUUGAUACUGUAGAUCUUGAGUGCGGUUGAGGUAGGCGGAAUGUUGCAUGUAGCGGUGAAAUGCUUAGAUAUGCAACAGAACACGGUUUGGGAGGGCAGUUUACAAAGCCGAUACCGACACCGAUGCACGAAAGCGUGGGGAUCAAACAGG
rnacentral:rRNA from 1 species